CUAAGAAUAUUCCGCAAUGGACGAAAGUCUGACGGAGCGACGCCGCGUGGAUGAUGAAGGCCGAAAGGUUGUAAAGUCCUUUUGCUGGGGAAGAAUAAGCGUGGGAGGGAAUGCCCGCGUGAUGACAUGAACCGGCGAAUAAGCCCCGGCUAACUACGUGCCAGCAGCCGCGGUAACACGUAGGGGGCGAGCGUUGUUCGGAAUUACUGGGCGUAAAGGGCAUGUAGUCGGCUUGGUAAGCCUGGCGUGAAAGUCACCGGCUCAACCGGUGGAUUGCGUUGGGAACUGCUGAGCUUGAAUCACGGAGAGGGAGCUAGAAUUCCAGGUGUAGGGGUGAAAUCUGUAGAGAUCUGGAAGAAUACCAGUGGCGAAGGCGAGCUCCUGGCCGAUGAUUGACGCUGAGGUGCGAAAGUGUGGGGAUCAAACA
rnacentral:rRNA from 1 species